rnacentral:lncRNA from 1 species
UUUUUUAACCAUUAAAGCUUAUGUUUCCUUAUCCUUUAUCCUUUGUUAUGCAUACUUAAUAAGAUUAAAACCUAAUUUUAACAAAACAGAAAUAUUCUUGGCCCAUUGAACUUUUAACCUCCAAACUUAUUCCAUUGGGCUUUUAUUCAUCAACAUGGACUUUGGCUUGCUUGAAGUAUGUUGAACAGCUUUAAGUCUUCUUGCUUCCAUGAAAUUGGCUUGUUCAAGUCAUGCAUAUUUUGUUUAC